ACCAGAUCCAAGAUGGCGGCCAGCAGGAGGCCGAUGAAGGAGCUUGAAGAAAUCCGCAAAUGUGGAAAGAAAAACUUCCGUAACCUCCAGGUUGAUGAAGCUAAUUUAUUGACUUGGCAAGGGCUUAUUGUUCCUGACAACCCUCCAUACGAUAAGGGGGCCUUCAGAAUCGAAAUCAACUUUCCAGCAGAGUACCCAUUCAAGCCACCGAAGAUCACAUUUAAAACAAAGAUCUAUCACCCGAACAUCGAUGAAAAGGGACAGGUUUGUCUGCCAGUAAUUAGUGCUGAAAACUGGAAGCCAGCAACCAAAACCGACCAAGUAAUCCAGUCCCUCAUAGCACUGGUGAACGACCCCCCAGCCUGAGCACCCGCUAAGGGCUGACCUAGCUGAAGAAUACUCUAAGGACCGUAAAAAAUUCUGUAAGAAUGCUGAAGAGUUUACAAAGAAAUACGGGGAAAAGUGACCUGUGGACUAAAAUCUGCCACGAUUGAUUCCAGCAAGUGUGAGUAGAGACCCCGAGCAGUGCAUUCAGACACCCCGCAAAG